rnacentral:rRNA from 1 species
UCCUACGGGGGGCAGCAGUGGGGAAUAUUGCACAAUGGGCGAAAGCCUGAUGCAGCAACGCCGCGUGAAGGAAGACGGUUUUCGGAUUGUAAACUUCUAUCAAUAGGGAAGAAAGAAAUGACGGUACCUAAAUAAGAAGCCCCGGCUAACUACGUGCCAGCAGCCGCGGUAAUACGUAGGUGGCAAGCGUUGUCCGGAUUUACUGGGUGUAAAGGGAGCGUAGACGGCUGUGCAAGUCUGAAGUGAAAUGCCGGGGCUCAACCCCGGAACUGCUUUGGAAACUGUACAGCUAGAGUGCAGGAGGG